rnacentral:rRNA from 1 species
GACGAACGCUGGCGGCGUGCUUAACACAUGCAAGUCGAACGGGGCGCCUUCGGGCGCUCACGUGGCGGACGGGUGCGUAACACGUGGGCAAUCUGCCCCGGGGCGGGGGAUAGCCAUCGGAAACGGUGGGUAAUUCCGCGUACGCUCGCCUGGCAGUGGGCCGGGCGAGGAAAGGCGCAAGCCACCCUGGGAGGAGCCUGCGGCCGAUUAGCUGGUUGGUGGGGUAACGGCCUACCAAGGCGAUGAUCGGUAGCUGGUCUGAGAGGACGGCCAGCCACACGGGGACUGAGAGACGGCCCCGACUCCUACGGGAGGCAGCAGCAAGGAAUCUUCCGCAAUGGGCGAAAGCCUGACGGAGCAACGCCGCGUGGGGGAGGACGCUUUUCGGAGUGUAAACCCCUUUUCUCGGGGACGAAGCACUGACGGUACCCGAGGAAGAAGGACCGGCUAACUACGUGCCAGCCGCCGCAGUAA